rnacentral:rRNA from 1 species
GAUGAACGCUGGCGGCGUGCCUAAUACAUGCAAGUCGAGCGAACGGACGAGAAGCUUGCUUCUCUGAUGUUAGCGGCGGACGGGUGAGUAACACGUGGAUAACCUACCUAUAAGACUGGGAUAACUUCGGGAAACCGGAGCUAAUACCGGAUGAUAUUUUGAACCGCAUUGUUCAAAAGUUAAAGACGGUCUUGCUGUCACUUAUAGAUGGAUCCGCGCUGCAUUAGCUAGUUGGUAAGGUAACGGCUACCAAGGCAACGAUGCAAAGCCGACCUGAGAGGGUGAUCGGCCACACUGGAACUGAGACACGGUCCAGACUCCUACGGGAGGCAGCAGUAGGGAAUCUUCCGCAAUGGGCGAAAGCCUGACGGAGCAACGCCGCGUGAGUGAUGAAGGUCUUCGGAUCGUAAAACUCUGUUAUUAGGGAAGAACAUAUGUGUAAGUAACUGUGCACAUCUUGACGGUACCUAAUCAGAAAGCCACGGCUAACUACGUG